rnacentral:rRNA from 1 species
AACGAACGCUGGCGGCAGGCCUAACACAUGCAAGUCGAACGGGACCUUCGGGUCUAGUGGCGGACGGGUGAGUAACGCGUGGGAACGUGCCCUCUGGUUCGGAAUAGCCCUGGGAAACUGGGAGUAAUACCGGAUACGGUCGAGAGACGAAAGAUUUAUCGCCGAAGGAUCGGCCCGCGUUGGAUUAGGUAGUUGGUGGGGUAAUGGCCUACCAAGCCGACGAUCCAUAGCUGGUUUGAGAGGAUGAUCAGCCACACUGGGACUGAGACACGGCCCAGACUCCUACGGGAGGCAGCAGUGGGGAAUCUUAGACAAUGGGGGAAACCCUGAUCUAGCCAUGCCGCGUGAGCGAUGAAGGCCUUAGGGUUGUAAAGCUCUUUCAGUGGGGAAGAUAAUGACGGUACCCACAGAAGAAGCCCCGGCUAACUCCGUGCCAGCAGCCGCGGUAA